rnacentral:rRNA from 1 species
UCAUAUGCUUGUCUCAAAGAUUAAGCCAUGCAUGUCUAAGUGCAAGCCGUCCCGUACGGUGAAACCGCGAAAGGCUCAUUAAAUCAGUUAUGGUUCCUUAGAUCGUACCCACGUUACUUGGAUAACUGUGGUAAUUCUAGAGCUAAUACAUGCCGAUAGAGUUCCGACCUUCGGUCGGGCAGGUCCGCGGGUCUCUCGCGGCCUCCCGACUCGCGGAAAGAACGCUUUUAUUAGAUCAAAACCGGCCAGGCGGCGGACGCGCCUCCCCGGCCUUUAAGUGGGCCGCGGGCUGGCGCGUUCGUCGUAAGCGGCCCGCGCAAAGACUUGGUGACUCUGAAUAACUUGGAGCUGAUCGCACGGUCCUAGCACCGGCGACGUAUCUUUCAAAUGUCUGCCUUAUCAACUGUCGACGGUAGGUUCGACGCCUACCGUGGUGGUAACGGGUAACGGGGAAUCAGGGUUCGAUUCCGGAGAGGGAGCCUGAGAAACGGCUACCACAUCCAAGGAAGGCAGCAGGCGCGCAAAUUACCCACUCCCAGCGCGGGGAGGUAGUGACGAAAAAUAACGAUACGGGACUCAUACGAGGCCCCGUAAUCGGAAUGAGUACACUUUAAAACCUUGGUCGCACGAGGAUCAAUUGGAGAGCAAG